AGAGUUUGAUCCUGGCUCAGGACGAACGCUGGCGGCGUGCUUAACACAUGCAAGUCGAACGAAAAGAGGGAAAGAGCUUGCUCUUUCCGGAAUUGAGUGGCAAACGGGUGAGUAACACGUAAACAACCUGCCUUCAGGAUGGGGACAACAGACGGAAACGACUGCUAAUACCGAAUAAGUUCCAAGAGCCGCAUGGCCCAUGGAAGAAAAGGUGGCCUCUACCUGUAAGCUAUCGCCUGAAGAGGGGUUUGCGUCUGAUUAGCUGGUUGGAGGGGUAACGGCCCACCAAGGCGACGAUCAGUAGCCGGUCUGAGAGGAUGAACGGCCACACUGGAACUGAGACACGGUCCAGACUCCUACGGGAGGCAGCAGUGGGGAAUCUUCCGCAAUGGGCGAAAGCCUGACGGAGCAACGCCGCGUGAGUGAUGACGGCCUUCGGGUUGUAAAACUCUGUGAUCCGGGACGAAAAGGCAGAGUGCGAAGAACAAACUGCAUUGACGGUACCGGAAAAGCAAGCCACGGCUAACUACGUGCCAGCAGCCGCGGUAAUACGUAGGUGGCAAGCGUUGUCCGGAAUUAUUGGGCGUAAAGCGCGCGCAGGCGGCUUCCCAAGUCCCUCUUAAAAGUGCGGGGCUUAACCCCGUGAUGGGAAGGAAACUGGGAAGCUGGAGUAUCGGAGAGGAAAGUGGAAUUCCUAGUGUAGCGGUGAAAUGCGUAGAGAUUAGGAAGAACACCGGUGGCGAAGGCGACUUUCUGGACGAAAACUGACGCUGAGGCGCGAAAGCGUGGGGAGCAAACAGGAUUAGAUACCCUGGUAGUCCACGCCGUAAACGAUGGAUACUAGGUGUGGGGGGUCUGACCCCCUCCGUGCCGCAGUUAACACAAUAAGUAUCCCACCUGGGGAGUACGAUCGCAAGGUUGAAACUCAAAGGAAUUGACGGGGGCCCGCACAAGCGGUGGAGUAUGUGGUUUAAUUCGACGCAACGCGAAGAACCUUACCAGGUCUUGACAU
rnacentral:rRNA from 1 species